AAAACGCACCAGGGGUGUCUGCAUCUGCUUCAUUGCUGGCUGUUCGGCCGUGAUGUUAGCAGGUCAGGCUGAGAAAGUCCCUUUGAACCUGAACAGGAUAAUUCCUGCGUAGGGAGAGUGCAUUUUCUUUUCU
rnacentral:ncRNA from 1 species